rnacentral:rRNA from 1 species
AUACGAAAGGUGCAAGCGUUGUUCGGAUUUACUGGGCGUAAAGAGAGUGUAGGUUGUUUAUUAAGUCGGAUGUGAAAUCCCGGGGCUCAACCUCGGAACUGCAUUCGAUACUGAUAGGCUAGAGUUUGGGAGGGGUAAGCGGAAUUCCGUGUGUAGCAGUGAAAUGCGUAGAUAUACGGAGGAACACCUGAGGCGAAGGCGGCUUACUGGACCAAUACCGACACUGAGACUCGAAAGCGUGGGUAGCAAACAGGAUUAGAAACCCUAGUAGUCC